UAAUACUGAAGUUGUCCGUCCGUGACCAAAAUUAGUGUUACUAUUUUUAAACUUUAUAACAUCAGUACAUUUAUGCUUUCGCUUGUGUUGUCAAAUCGGCAUUAAUGGCCAUUUAAUAUCAGGUUCAACAUGAACACGAUUGAUUUCAUUCAAGAUAGAGCACUUUGUCGACGGGAAACCCAGUCAAGUAAACCCUGAUCCUCCAGCAGCUACUGUACUGUAUUACACCGUACCAACUUACACCGGGACCGGCUCACAUCAUCUAGACCUCUUCCAAAAAUAAGAUUUAAUAUCUGAGCCACCCCAACAAAAACAAGAACAGAACGGACUGAAGCUAACACCAUAGAGGUACAUUCUUCCAAGAAUCAAGAAACACAACAUGCUGAACAACUUCAAUGACUCUCUUCAAAAGACCACACUUUCCUGAAAUAAAUAAAAGAUGCCACUAUUAAAAUAAACCAGAUACAUGUCUUGUUAAAUAUUUUAAUUCUGGCUGUAAAUGCUACUGCAUUUGAUGUUUGCUUUCUACAUGUAUAUAAUAAUGAAAUAUUGACAAGA